UGAACCAUGGUUAAUGAACAUUGAUUACUUACUUUCCAAUGGUCUUGACCAUGAUUUACC
rnacentral:pre_miRNA from 2 species